CGUUCGAGCGCACAAUGAUGGCCGAGAGCGGCAAGUGGCCGGCACUGCGACGGGUGAAAUAUUUUACAGGUGGCCUCCCCAUCCCUAAAGGACUUCUCAAGCCUGCACUGAUCCCAGCAAUAGAUGGGAGCCAUCUGUGAAGAUUGAGAGAUGAUCCACCUGAGAUCAAGCCUGACGUGGAAGCAGGCACAAUGCCAGCAGACAGUGCUUUGUCUGUCAAGCCUGAAGUCAGUUGUCUCUACCGUCCAAGGACUGAAGAGGAUUCAACCAUUUGUAAGGACCCAUAUGAUUCAUCCAGUCAGAGAGGGGUGUCAUCUGACAAAAUCUGUUUGGAUCCCAAGCUGUGCAUCUGUGACAUUUGCGGGGAAUGUUUGAAGACCAAGGAACACUUCUUAGCCCACAUGCUCAUGCAUUCUGAUGGAAGGCAGUUCACCUGUGGGGUUUGCGGCAAGUCGUUCGUGGAGCGGUGGCUGCUGAAACUGCACACAGCCAUCCACAACGUUGGACAGCGCUUCACCUGUGGGGCUUGUGGAAGUGACUUCGACACUGAAGCGGGUCUGGAAAGACACGGCCGCACGCACACAGGUAGGACGGGUUCGUCUUGCUAGCAGCCACAGUUGAAGCCUCUGCAGCUGUGGUAAUUGUAACGAGAUUUUGCUGCGGGUAGGAUCUGGCUUUUCACACUCGUUCGGGUGUCUCGGUUUCCCGCUCCGCUAUGAUUUGUUGAGUCGCUCUGGUGAACGGGUGUACGAUGAUAGCGUCGAUGGCUUGGUGCUUCCCGUGCCGAGUGGGAGCGAUCUGGACCU